UUUUGGAAACAGAUAUAUAUAUUUAAACUUUUGUUAUGGAAUCUUUUCAUGUAUUCUACUGACAGAUCCAAGAAUUAGUCAGCUCCCUGGCCUAUAUUUUUACUUAAAGGGAAGACUAUUUGUUUAAAAUAACCUGAAUUGGGACUCUGAGACAGAGAUCCCUUGCAAACAAUAAACUUUUGGGACAGGAAAAUUGGAGUUAAAAGCUAUAUCUUUUCUUUGAUUUGAAUCUUUCGGUAUCACCCUGUCUUUUUCCUCCCUAUGAUAUCUUUCAAACCUGGAUCUCUUUUCUUCAUAGCACCAGAGGAUUGAUCUAUUUAACUUUUCAAUUAUACAUAUCAGUGGCAUACUUUAUACACAAGAUUCCUAGAAAUAUUAAUAGCAAUAUUAGUCAUAUUUAUUCUCCAUUUUAUUUGCAUUUUUUUUUAAAAGAAUGCCUUAGCAUUCCUUCUGUCUUAAUAGGUCUUAAUUUAACAAACUAUUAACAAGCCUGGUUCAAGCCUUGUUGAAUAUAUGCAAUAUUUUUCUCAAAAUAUGCCUUAUCUGCAUAAUGUAGGUUUUAAUUAUCACUGUAGGUAUAAGCUAUUUAUCAAAUAUAAAAAUAUGGAUCUCAUUUCAGAACUGGAAUAGACAUUUUUAAAUCUAUGUAUAUCCGAAAACUGGGGUAAGAUAUAAAAUAAACAUGGACUUUAAAUAUGAAAUAUUGAAAUGUGGCAAGAAAAAGAAAACAUUCUCAAGUAACAAUGAAGGGACCCUGCUUCUCCAUGGCAGCAACUAUGAGUAUUCCAGUGCUCCUACUCACCUUGGAACUGGGACCUGGAACCACAUAUGGACAGCACAGUAGAGUUGCAUCUACCAUCAUCAAAGAAUAACCUGUAAUAUCCUUCUGAUCAAUUGUCUGACUCCCUUACCAUGUAUGCCCUGAGAGUUUCUGAAGCCACCUCUAUUGCCCCAAUGCAGUCAGCCUCAAGGACUGCUGCUGGCUUAAGGAACAUGGCAUGUGCUGUAUUGCACUC
rnacentral:lncRNA from 1 species